rnacentral:piRNA from 1 species
UCUGAAGCAGCCGCAUGAUCUGCUGUGC